UACGGAGGGUGCAAGCAUUAAUCGGAUUUAUUGGGCGUAAAGGGCGCGUAGGCGGAUUUAAAAGUCAGAUGUGAAAUUCCGGAGCUCAACUUCGGAGCUGCAUUUGAAACUCUAAGUCUAGAGGAAUGGCGGAGAAAAUGGAAUUCCACGUGUAGCGGUGAAAUGCGUAGAUAUGUGGAAGAACACCUGUGGCGAAAGCGGUUUUCUAGCUUUUUCCUGACGCUGAGGCGCGAGAGCAAGGGGAGCAAACAGG
rnacentral:rRNA from 1 species